UACGUAGGGGGCAAGCGUUGUCCGGAUUUAUUGGGCGUAAAGAGCGUGUAGGCGGCCAGACAGGUCCGUUGUGAAAACUCGAGGCUCAACCUCGAGAUGUCGAUGGAAACCGUCUGGCUAGAGUCCGGAAGAGGAGUGUGGAAUUCCUGGUGUAGCGGUGAAAUGCGCAGAUAUCAGGAAGAACACCCGUGGCGAAGGCGGCUUUCUGGGACGGUACUGACGCUGAGACGCGAAAGCGUGGGGAGCGAACAGG
rnacentral:rRNA from 1 species